rnacentral:rRNA from 1 species
CCUACGGGGGGCAGCAGUGGGGAAUAUUGCGCAAUGGGCGAAAGCCUGACGCAGCGACGCCGCGUGAGGGAUGAAGGUCUUCGGAUCGUAAACCUCUGUCAGCAGGGAAGAACGGUCACUGUGCUAAUCAGCAGUGAAUUGACGGUACCUGCAAAGGAAGCACCGGCUAACUCCGUGCCAGCAGCCGCGGUAAUACGGAGGGUGCGAGCGUUAAUCGGAAUUACUGGGCGUAAAGCGCUCGUAGGCGGUAUGUCAAGCCAAGGGUGAAAUCCCCGCGCGCAACGUGGGAACUGCCUUUGAAACUGGCUAACUUGAUUGUGUGGAAGGAUAGUGGAAUUCCAGGUGUAGGAGUGAAAUCCGUAGAUAUCUGGAGGAACAUCAGUGGCGAAGGCGACUAUCUGGCACAUAACUGACGCUGAGGAGCGAAAGCGUGGGUAGCAAACAGGAGUAGAUACCCGGGUAGUC